GGCUUGGUAGUGGAGGGUCCACAUCUACUUUCCAUUCGAAGGGAUUAUAGAGCAUAAUGCAGAUAAAGCCUGUUCGACUCAGGCCCGAGCCA